rnacentral:rRNA from 1 species
UUGCUCCCGGAUGUUAGCGGCGGACGGGUGAGUAACACGUGGGUAACCUGCCUGUAAGACUGGGAUAACUCCGGGAAACCGGAGCUAAUACCGGAUAGUUCCUUGAACCGCAUGGUUCAAGGAUGAAAGACGGUUUCGGCUGUCACUUACAGAUGGACCCGCGGCGCAUUAGCUAGUUGGUGAGGUAACGGCUCACCAAGGCGACGAUGCGUAGCCGACCUGAGAGGGUGAUCGGCCACACUGGGACUGAGACACGGCCCAGACUCCUACGGGAGGCAGCAGUAGGGAAUCUUCCGCAAUGGACGAAAGUCUGACGGAGCAACGCCGCGUGAGUGAUGAAGGUUUUCGGAUCGUAAAGCUCUGUUGUUAGGGAAGAACAAGUGCAAGAGUAACUGCUUGCACCUUGACGGUACCUAACCAGAAAGCCACGGCUAACUACGUGCCAGCAGCCGCGGUAAUACGUAGGUGGCAAGCGUUGUCCGGAAUUAUUGGGCGUAAAGGGCUCGCAGGCGGUUUCUUAAGUCUGAUGUGAAAGCCCCCGGCUCAACCGGGGAGGGUCAUUGGAAACUGGGAAACUUGAGUGCAGAAGAGGAGAGUGGAAUUCCACGUGUAGCGGUGAAAUGCGUAGAGAUGUGGAGGAACACCAGUGGCGAAGGCGACUCUCUGGUCUGUAACUGACGCUGAGGAGCGAAAGCGUGGGGAGCGAACAGGAUUAGAUACCCUGGUAGUCCACGCCGUAAACGAUGAGUGCUAAGUGUUAGGGGGUUUCCGCCCCUUAGUGCUGCAGCUAACGCAUUAAGCACUCCGCCUGGGGAGUACGGUCGCAAGACUGAACUCAAAGGAAUUG